UACGGGGGGGGGCAAGCGUUGUUCGGAAUUACUGGGCGUAAAGGGCUCGUAGGCGGCCAACUAAGUCAGACGUGAAAUCCCUCGGCUUAACCGGGGAACUGCCUCUGAUACUGGAUGGCUUGAGGUUGGGAGAGGGAUGCGGAAUUCCAGGUGUAGCGGUGAAAUGCGUAGAUAUCUGGAGGAACACCGGUGGCGAAGGCGGCAUCCUGGACCAAUUCUGACGCUGAGGAGCGAAAGCAUGGGGAGCGAACAGG
rnacentral:rRNA from 1 species